UGCUGCAUGGCUGUCGUCAGCUCGUGUUGUGAAAUGUUGGGUUAAGUCCCGCAACGAGCGCAACCCUUAUCCUUUGUUGCCAGCGGUCCGGCCGGGAACUCAAAGGAGACUGCCAGUGAUAAACUGGAGGAAGGUGGGGAUGACGUCAAGUCAUCAUGGCCCUUACGACCAGGGCUACACACGUGCUACAAUGGCGCAUACAAAGAGAAGCGACCUCGCGAGAGCAAGCGGACCUCAUAAAGUGCGUCGUAGUCCGGAUUGGAGUCUGCAACUCGACUCCAUGAAGUCGGAAUCGCUAGUAAUCGUGGAUCAGAAUGCCACGGUGAAUACGUUCCCGGGCCUUGUACACACCGCCCGUCACACCAUGGGAGUGGGUUGCAAAAGAAGUAGGUAGCUUAACCUUCGGGAGGGCGCUUACCACUUUGUGAUUCAUGACUGGGGUGAAGUCGUAACAAGGUAACCGUAGGGGAACCUGCGGCUGGAUCACCUC
rnacentral:rRNA from 1 species